rnacentral:rRNA from 1 species
UACGUAGGGCGCAAGCGUUAUCCGGAAUUAUUGGGCGUAAAGAGCUCGUAGGCGGCUUGUCGCGUCGUCCGUGAAAACCUGCGGCUCAACUGCAGGCUGGCGGUCGAUACGGGCAGACUGGAGGUAUGCAGGGGAGAACGGAAUUCCUGGUGUAGCGGUGAAAUGCGCAGAUAUCAGGAGGAACACCGGUGGCGAAGGCGGUUCUCUGGGCAUGUUCUGACGCUGAGGAGCGAAAGCAUGGGGAGCGAACAGG